CCUACGGGUGGCAGCAGUCGAGAAUCAUUCACAAUGGGGGAAACCCUGAUGGUGCGACGCCGCGUGGGGGAAUGAAGGUCUUCGGAUUGUAAACCUCUGUCAUGUGGGAGCAAAUUAAAAAGAUAGUACCACAAGAGGAAGAGACGGCUAAAUCUGUGCCAGCAGCCGCGGUAAUACAGAGGACUCAAGCGUUGUUCGGAAUCACUGGGCGUAAAGCGUGCGUAGGUUGUUUCGUAAGUCGUGUGUGAAAGGGGCGGGCUCAACCCGCAGACGGCACAUGAUACUGCGAGACUAGAGUAAUGGAGAGGUAAGCGGAAUUCUCGGUGUAGCAGUGAAAUGCGUAGAUAUCGAGAAGAACACUCAUGGCGAAGGCAGGUUCCUGGACAUUAACUGACGCUGAGGCACGAAGGCCAGGGGAGCGAAAGGGAUUAGAUACCCGAGUAGUC
rnacentral:rRNA from 1 species